ACAAACGGGGGCAAGCCUUAGAGGGUGGUACACAGCUGUUGCAUUGGCUGUCGUUCAGCUCGUGACGUGAGUUGUUCUCUUAAGUGAGGUAACGAGCGCAACCCCCAUUCUGUGUUACUAUGUCACAGAAGACUGCCCAGCAUUAUUUUGUUGGGAGGAAGGAGGGGACGACGUUAAGUCAUCAUGAUGCUUAUAUCCGGGGCUACACACAUCCUACAAUGGGUGGUACAGAGGGUCGCAAUACCGCGAGGUGGAGCUAAUCCUUAAAACCUCCCUCAGUUGGGAUUGCAGGCUGAAACUCGCCUGCAUGAACUUGGAAUUGGUAGUAAUCGCAAAUCAGCAGAUUGCGGUGAAUACGUUCUCGCCUCUU
rnacentral:rRNA from 1 species